CGAGUGUUCAGGAAGUAAUCGGAGACAGCAUUCCUAAUAUUUAGGGUUGUUUUGGGGUUACUUGAACAUUUUCCAAACUACACAACCAUAAAUGACCUCAGACUGACCACUAAUACUAAUGUUUUAAUGUUACAAAUUAUUGUCAAUUAAUCAAUGACAUAACUUGUGAAUGGCACCUCAUCAAAAAAGGAUGGCACGUGUUCUAAGCACAAAAGUCUGAAUAGAUUCGCUGAUGUUACACAUGAUGGGAUUCCAGUUAUCUGUGUUUUUGCUUGUAGUUUAAACUUCCUGAGAACAUAGAAGGACUGCACACACGCAUGUAUAAUGUUUAAACAAGUGUUACACGUUCCCUGGAGCUACACCCGCUUCGUCAGGCGUUCAAUCAAAUAUAGUGACAUUGCAUUAUGUGUGCUGGAUCUUGAAGGGAAUUAUUAACCCAAAAAAAUCAAAGUUAGCUAAAAAAAUAAAUCAAAUUAGCCAGCCUCGGGCCAUUAAAGAUCUGAUCUGAACUGAUUUGUAGAAAUGUAUCAUUACAUCACUUGCUCACAAAUGGAUCCACUGCAGUGAAUGGACAUUCUGACGGCACCCAUUCACUUCAGAGGAUGCAUAGCGAGCCAGCGAUUUAAGCUACAUCUCUCCAAAUCUGAUCUGAUGAAGAAACAAACUCAUCUACGUCUCGGAUAAACUGAGGACCCCACAGAGAACACCUGAACAUCCAUCUGCAAAGGGGCCGCGCUGGACAUGCCGCACGGUCCAGGGACAGCUUCAUCAGAGCUUCUCACAGAACAGAUGGAGAAGUUUGGAGAAGAAAACCUUUGCUCCAAUCUGUUGCCCCUGUCAAUCCAAUACUGGGCUGAUCAGAUAAUACAACAGAGCUCAACUAGAAAAUGAGGAUACAGCUGUGAACGACAACAGACAGACGUGGGACAGUUGAAACAUCUGACACCCCAAUAGGAUACCCUCUCUGGUUUGAAUUAGACCUUCAUUCCACGGGGUCCAAAGGGUAUCGUAAAAAGACAGUUUAUUUUUUGCCAGAAAUAUAGUCCGGAGAAUGUUAUCUGUCUGUUGAGCUGUCUCUGGAAGCGUCAUAUUGUAGUAAUGAUUAAAAGCACUGUCAUUUUUACGGUUACGCGGCUGGAUUUUGAGUAAAUAUGUAGGAAGAGCUUAGCGGGAUCUCAGGUGGUUGAUUUUCCUUGAGGCCUCUGGUGUAUUUUGAAAUGUUUUUAAUGAUGAGUCAAAAGCCAUGUGAGUUAAAGUGAUAAAUCGUGUAUAUUUCGCAUCUAAGGGUUGUGACUCUUCUCAUUUGGUAUUUGAAAAGACAUUCAGGUAUUGCAAAAGAGUAUCAGUCACAUGAUGCUUUUGAACCGCACACGACAGACCGGUUUAGAGCCGUCUGUGUAAAAGUAGCGGAUUUAUGAAGAUGCGGGAGGGAUAUGAGUGGAAAAAGGUAAAUGUUAUGUUAGCGAGGGUGCCAAUCAUGUGCCAUGUUUAGUAAGAUGGAGCGGUUGUCAUCCUUCUAAUGUUUGUUAAACAUUCUCCGAGCCAGAUCAUUUAAUUCACAACAGUCCUCUGUAAUCGCAAAAAUAAUUACUUCACCCCCCACAGCCUACGAGAUAAUUGCAUUUGAUUUACGUUCGCUUUAAAUGGAAUAUGAAAAACAAAAUCGGAAUCUAAGAACAACCGCUGUGCCUGAAUAUUUUUAGUGUGUGUGUGUGUGUGUGUGUUUCAAUUGGAAUGUAAAUGUUUGAUAGAACGGGGCUAAUAUGGGGACAACAAAUGAGCAUUUUCUACUUUUUUCUUAUUCUUGCAUUUUAUCUCUAUCACAGCGGGUCAAAAAAUAGACCGGGAAAUACACAGUUGACAGGUUUGGAAUAAAAGACAUACAUUUAAGAUUCAACACUAUUUUUAAGCGUGCAUUUUACAAAAGCACAAGAUGCUCUUUGGAUCGUUUUUAAAGUGUGCUGGAGAACAUUGUCAGGACCGCUGUAAGCAAAGCAAACUGAGUACACAUUAAAAAAUAAGACUGAAUUUAAUUGAUUGAUUAAAUUAAACUCAAUUUUAUACUCAUUAUGGCUGCAUUUCUUGAUCAAAAAUACAGAAAAAAUUGUAAUAUUGUAAAAUGUUAUUACAAUUUAAAAUGCUAUUUUCAGGAGGUCAUUAUUCCAGUGUCAUAUUAUCCUGCAGAAAUAAUUUUAUGCUAAAUUGGUGCUCAAGAAACAUUACUUAUCAUUAUCAAUGCUUAUUUCGGUGGAAACCAUGAUUUUUUUUCCUCGGUUAGUCAAAAUGAAUGAAACACAAUAGAAUGAGUAGAAAGAUCUUUGUCUUAAAAUAUAUGUAUCUGCUAGUUGCCAUGAGAUUAACAUCAUUAUAUUGUCAAGAGUUUCUGCCCUGAGACCUGUCAGAUUCAAACGUGCUUCAACAAGAAUAGCAAUGAUGUCAGCUCCGAUGAUUCAAAGAUGCUGUUUUGGUUUGAAUGAACGAUCUGUGCCAAAUGCUUUAGCAUGAUGCACCAUUAUGACAAGAAUCUUGAAAGCAAUUAAAGAAAAGUAGCAAGUACAGAUACAUUUUUGGUGGCUUUUUACAUUCAAUAGUUCAUACAGGGCAGGCCAUCCACUUGCUUUGCCUCUGACCCCGGCAGAUAUUUCCCCAAAUCAGUCCAAGCUUCAUUGCAACAUGGAAAAUAAAAGAAUAAAUCACAUUGCCAAACUCUUUGAACCUGUGAGGCCGCAGACACAUUUUUCCUAUUUAGAGCCUCUCUCGAAGUCUCUCUGCAUCCACGGCACAGCAUCCAUUCCAAGAGUGUGCACACGCCAGUGUUGCGUGUUGACUGCGAGAACUGCGCUCUGUUGUGUUCCUUGCUAUUUCCUCCCAUCAGACCACAGGCUUUUUUUUUUCCCUCAUUUGAUUAAUGCUGAGUUAAUGACCCCCCAUAGACCAGAGGACCAGGCAAAAAAUGUUAAGCAUCUUAAACCGUUGCAGCUUGUUUGCUCAAACUGUUUAUGGGGCACAAGGACAUGCUAUAAACAUAGAGUAAAGAGCAAGCAAUGGAAACGGUUUUGUGCGCUGUGGAAUGUAGCAAACUCUUUCGCUUUGUUUUAGAAGAGUUGUUUCAUAUGUAGCUGAAUUACCGUUUGGCACCCCAGGAUGAUUUGGAUGCAAUGGAUGCGUUUUUUUUUGUUUUUGCUGAUACUCUGAACACUAGAAUUGAAUCAAAUUGAAUUGAACACUUGUUGGAGGAGUCUAUUGUAAUUUAUCACAUUUUCAUUUAAACGUAUAAUACUGUGUGUAUCUGAUUAUACUGAGUGUGUGAGUUGAUCGAGAUAUGUUCUAAGCAUACACAAUAUAAAAUCAAGCCAAUUCUCUGAAAUAUAGGAAAACGUUUGGUAAGAUAUGUAUGUGGCUAAGCUGUCACAUCCACCACAAAUAAAUCUUUUUUUUUUAAAUAUUGAAUCACAUUUUGGUGAACUGGCAGUAGCCUAUAUAAAACCUCAUAAAUUACUUGGCUAAUCAUUAGGCAUGAAUUUUUAAAUAGUGCAGUUUUAAAGUAUAGUGUAGGCUUCAGUGUAGGACUGUAAAAUCAAUUCAUAUAUAUUUAUACUACACUAACACAAACCUUUAUGAAAAUUAACAAAUUAUGUUUCAGUUUGUUGGACUGCUUUUAAAUAUUCUUAAUAUUAAAAUGUUUUCUGCUUGGUCAUGUAAA